GGACCCGUGGCGCAGUGGUAGCGCGUGUGAUUCCAGUCCACAAGGUCAUCCGUUCAAUCCGGGUCGGGUUCA
rnacentral:tRNA from 1 species